UGAGGGAUAUUGGGCAAUGGGCGCAAGCCUGACCCAGCGACGCCGCGUGGAGGACGACGGGCUUCGGCUCGUAAACUCCUUUUCCCGGGGACGAGACAAGGACGGUACCCGGGGAAUAAGUCUCGGCUAACUACGUGCCAGCAGCCGCGGUAAUACGUAGGAGGCAAGCGUUAUCCGGAAUUACUGGGCGUAAAGGGCGUCUAGGUGGGACGUCAAGCGGGGUGUGAAAGCUCCUGGCUUAACUGUAGAACUGCCUUUGAUACUUUUAUUCUUGAGUUCGGGAGAGAGAGACGGAAUUCCAGGUGUAGUGGUGAAAUACGUAGAUAUCUGGAAGAACACCAGUUGCGAAGGCGGUCUCUUGGUCCGACACUGACGCUGAGGCGCGAAAGCGUGGGGAGCAAACA
rnacentral:rRNA from 1 species